rnacentral:rRNA from 1 species
ACCAGCAGCCAUAUCACCCUGCAACUCACAACUGGCAACCCACUGAAGUGUACCAUGUGUGAGCCUGGUCAGUAUCUGGAUGGGAGACCUUCUGGAAAAAAAACUAAGGUUGCUGCUGGAA